rnacentral:rRNA from 1 species
UACGAAGGGGGCUAGCGUUGUUCGGAAUUACUGGGCGUAAAGAGCUCGUAGGUGGUUUGUCGCGUUGUUCGUGAAAACUCACAGCUUAACUGUGGGCGUGCGGGCGAUACGGGCAGACUUGAGUACUGCAGGGGAGACUGGAAUUCCUGGUGUAGCGGUGGAAUGCGCAGAUAUCAGGAGGAACACCGGUGGCGAAGGCGGGUCUCUGGGCAGUAACUGACGCUGAGGAGCGAAAGCGUGGGGAGCGAACAGG